UACGUAGGGGGCAAGCGUUGUCCGGAUUUAUUGGGCGUAAAGAGCGUGUAGGCGGCCAUACAGGUCAGCUGUGAAAACUCGGGGCUUAACCCCGAGCCUGCAGUGGAUACGGGCAGACUAGAGGUAGGUAGGGGAGAAUGGAAUUCCCGGUGUAGCGGUGAAAUGCGCAGAUAUCGGGAGGAACACCGGUGGCGAAGGCGGUUCUCUGGGCCUUACCUGACGCUGAGGAGCGAAAGCGUGGGGAGCGAACAGG
rnacentral:rRNA from 1 species